AUAACCACAUAACUCCGAGCCGAAAGGUCUACGUUCGACACGUUGUCGGAUAUGGCCUGAGGCCGCAAGGGUCGGGCGGGAAACUGCCCUGCCUUCCGACAUUGAAAAGGAGUGAGUAUGCGAAUUGA
rnacentral:ncRNA from 2 species